rnacentral:rRNA from 1 species
AUUGAACGCUGGCGGCAGGCCUAACACAUGCAAGUCGAACGGUAACAGGAAGAAGCUUGCUUCUUUGCUGACGAGUGGCGGACGGGUGAGUAAUGUCUGGGAAACUGCCUGAUGGAGGGGGAUAACUACUGGAAACGGUAGCUAAUACCGCAUAAUGUCGCAAGACCAAAGAGGGGGACCUUUGGGCCUCUUGCCAUCGGAUGUGCCCAGAUGGGAUUAGCUAGUAGGUGGGGUAACGGCUCACCUAGGCGACGAUCCCUAGCUGGUCUGAGAGGAUGACCAGCCACACUGGAACUGAGACACGGUCCAGACUCCUACGGGAGGCAGCAGUGGGGAAUAUUGCACAAUGGGCGCAAGCCUGAUGCAGCUAUGCCGCGUGUAUGAAGAAGGCCUUCGGGUUGUAAAGUACUUUCAGCGGGGAGGAAGGGAGUAAAGUUAAUACCUUUGCUCAUUGACGUUACCCGCAGAAGAAGCACCGGCUAACUCCGUG